rnacentral:rRNA from 1 species
AAUAAACGCUGGCGGCGUGCCUAACACAUGCAAGUCGAGCGAGAAAGCUCCUUCGGGAGUUAGUAAAGCGGCGAACGGGUGAGCAACGCGUGAGAAUCUACCCUUUAGUGAAGAAUACCCUCGAGAAAUCGAGGCUAAUACUGCAUACGUCCCUUCGGGGAGAAAGAUGGCCUCUUUGCUAUCGCUAAAGGAUGAGCUUGCGUACUAUUAGCUAGUUGGCGGGGUAACGGCCCACCAAGGCGAUGAUGGUUAACCGGCCUGAGAGGGUGUACGGUCA